rnacentral:sRNA from 1 species
CUCCACCCAAAUCCGCAACUGCUCCAAAGCCAAUGGCGCCAGAGUUAUCUACAACGAUUGCUUCCUCAGGUACGAGAGCGAGAGGUUCUACCAACAGACCAACGAACUUGGCAGUGGGGUAACGUGUGGGAACACCAGUUUAAAAACCACUCGUGAUUUUAAAGUAGUUGGACAACAGGCACUCACGGAGAUUCAAACAGCAACACCUAAAACUAAAGGGUUUUAUGCAGCUACCAAGACACAGGUGGAUGAUGGUUCUGCAAUUUAUGCCAUUGCACAGUGUGUUGAAACUGCCGCAGAAAGUGAUUGUUUGAAAUGCAUGCAAGUUGCAUACAAUAACUUACAGAGUUGCCUUCCCAACACAGAUGGUACAGCAUAUGAUGCAGGCUGUUUUAUGAGAUACUCCACCACACCUUUCUUUGCUGCUAAUCAAACCAUUGAUAUUCGAUCCUACUUAAAACAAGGAAGUUCAGGAAAGAAGGGGGGAAUUAUAGGUGGUGUUGUAGGAGGUUUUGUUCUCCUCCUAAUUCUGUUCUUUGUCUGGAGGAUGUCUAGAAAAAGAAACAAGGUUCACAGAGGUGACAUAUUGGGAGCAACUGAGUUAAGAGGACCAGUUAACUACAAAUAUAAUGAUUUGAAAGCUGCAACUAAAAAUUUCAGUGCUGAAAAUAAACUUGGAGAAGGAGGUUUUGGU